GUCCCGUUGGCCGAGCAGCCGAGGCAAUGGUCUGCAAAACCAUCCAGGCGGGUGCAACUCCCGCACGGGACUCCA
rnacentral:tRNA from 1 species